GUACUCGCUCUGGCAGCACCUAUACUAAAACUGGAAUGAUUAGCACGGCCCCUGCAUGAGAAUGACAUGUAAAUUUAUGAAGCAUUCCAUUUUUUU
ensembl:snRNA U6 U6 spliceosomal RNA